rnacentral:rRNA from 1 species
AAUGAACGUUGGCGGCGUGGAUUAGGCAUGCAAGUCGAACGAGAAUCGACCCUUCGGGGGAGUGGACAGUGGCGAACUGCGUAGUAAUAGAUAGGUGACGUGCCCCAAGGUCUGGGAUAGCCGCGGGAAACUGCGGGUAAUACCGGAUGAUCUCUUCGGACAUGAUGGUUUGAGGAGCAAAGGUGAGAUUCCGUCUUGGGAGCGGCUUAUUGAGUAUUAGCUUGUUGGUGGGGUAACGGCCUACCAAGGCUCCGAUGCUUAGGGGGUGUUAGCGCAUGGCCCCACGACUGGGACUGAGGACUGCCCAGACACCUACGGGUGGCUGCAGUCGAGAAUCUUCGGCAAUGGACGAAAGUCUGACCGAGCGACGCCGCGUGCGGGAUGAAGGCCCUUGGGUUGUAAACCGCUGUCAGAGGGGAUGAAAUUCCGGAAGGCAAUCCUUCCGGAUUGACAGAGCCUCAAAGGAAGCACGGGCUAAGUACGUG